rnacentral:lncRNA from 1 species
AAGUCCCAAGAUGACCUACCUUCAGGUACAGCGGGAUCCAGGGGUUCCAACAGUGAGGCCAAGGAGCAGCCUCUCAUUACUGCUUAGCUCAGUGUCCUUCUGGUUAUUGGCUCCAGCCCAAGGGAAGACUCUGGUCACCAGACUCACAUGUUUUCCAGGUUGUUAACUUCCAAUACCCAUUUAGCAAUCCAGGUAAGACUUUGAGCGGCCUCGCUUAGAACAGACAACUACACCUGGAUCAACCACUGUUGCUCGGGGGCCCAGAGCAUUGCGAUUGGCUACUCUGGAGUUACAUGACCUACCCUGUGGUCAGGAAGGGGAUGCUGGUGGAUGUGGAGACUGGUAGCUCUGCUGGGGAUGACAUAGAAUAAAGAAGAGAGUUAUCCAAAGUCAGGAGGGGUGUUGGACUGACAGAAACAAAGGAUAUCUACCCCACAUGGACACCCCUAGAGAACGAAAGUACUUGCUUCUGGUUCUUGCUUAGGUCUCUCUCUGAGUCAGUGCUAGUCCUGGGACAGUUGUUCUAAGGUCAUCAGGUGAAUUCUGUCAGUUCAGAGAUAAAUAUAGCUUCCAAGCCAAGGAACAUGACUUGCAAAAGAAGGAAGAGUUGCUGCUGAGCUGUGUGAAUCUGAACUGUGAGUAGAAGCCCCAGGCUAUAUCUGUCUCUUUGGCUUAGAACAGAUGGGACCCAGGCAACUUUUCACUCAACCAGCUGGGUUGUACGGAUAUCUCAUGCUCUGCUUGCUUUUAGGUCAGUGCCAUGCACACCAGGAUACGUGGAAUGUGUGUGAGUGAAUCGUGCACGUCUGUGUUCAACAAGGAAAGGAAACACCAGGAUUGCAGGAGACACGAAACGAGUAAGAGUUUGCUGACUCCCAACACAGGUCCUCUUCGUGCGAGCAAAGGCUGGCUUUCCUGGAAAACUGGCUUCCUUCAGAACUCUGGUCCACUCUGAUACCAAACGUGGAUGCUUGUGGAAUUUGCCAGUUAUUGGGCUGAGGGGACCCUUCCCCUGGCGAAGCAGAAAAGCAUCAAACAAAAGUUUCCUCUGUGCCUGUGGGCUACCCGCCUACCUCUGCCGUGACACCAGCCACAUCCUCAUGCCUUAACGUUAACAGGUUGUCUGCAGUCCCUUGUGGGGUUCUAAGACUCAAUCCAUAGACUCAUGCAUGUUUUGAGAGCCCCAGAAUCAAAGCUGGAGAGGUGACUUUAGGAGAUUAACAGUCAUGAUUUAUUGUCCAAACCAGAACCUUUUGAGAGUGAAAGGGCGUGCUAUUAGUCAUGAUUCCAGGACUACAGGUGUUGGGUGGCACAUUUGGUCUUCUCAAUAUUUAUUGAGCCCUUGUUAGUAAUUUAACUCAUCCUUUAAUACAGUCUUCCCUUGAAUCCUCAUAAUAACUGUAUUGACUAGACAGUAUUCCCAUUUUACAGAUGAUGAGGGUUGAAGGAGUAGUUCAUGUACAGUGACGACUCUAUAGUUGUGCCCUGGUAAGAGCAGGCAUGAGAAGGAAUUUGGACUGAAGUCUUAUGCCAAAAUGGAUGUACCUUGCACUACAGUAUGUGGUUUCUUACCUAUAAUUCAGUGAUUUUUUCCUUUUUUCUAAAAAAAGACCUAGGUUCUAAGGAGACAUAAGAUGCUAGUUAGCUACCAAGACACUCCUGAAGGCAAGGGGAAGACCAUCAAAAGAGCAACUCCAUCUUCAUGUUUAAGAUAUUGGCCAAGUGGAUGAAACUUCAUUUACUGGGAGGAAGGGGAUUUCUACUAUUUGAAAUUAAAAAAUAGGAAGAAAGAUUGAAGAAGAAAAAGGAGAAGAAGAGAAAGGAAAAGAGGAAGAUGGAAAGAGAGGAAGAGAAGGAAGGAAGAAAGGAAAAUAGGAAGGAAAUGAGAGAGGCAGGGAAAGAUCAUCGUUGCACUUUAAGCCCCUGGGUUUGAAACUGCAAAGUGGAGUCCCAGAGAGAGAGAGUCCCAUAUCCAAUGUCACACAGCAAAUCAAACAGAGGGGAAACAAUGAUCUGAAAAGACGAGUCUUUUGAUUUUCAAUCCAUGUGCUUUUCGCCACACUUUCCUGGGUAGCAAGCAUUAUGUUGAGAGGAAGUACUGCCAGUUGGAACUAUUUUCUUAUUUCACCUCAUUUUGACACUGUGGUGAAUUGCUGGUCCUUAGGGAAGCUUUUCUUUAGAAAGAGGGAUUAAGCUGCUUUUAAAUAUUGAGGAGGAAAAGCUGUCACAGUUUUCAGAUAUACGAUGGAAGAGAUUUUAAAUAGAGACAAGUGUGUGCAUGUUGAAUUCUGUUGUCUUUCUUAGCAGAAAGACACGUCAUAUUCUUGAAAUGCCUUCCUUUUUUCAUCACCAUAGUCCUGGACUAUUUGAAGAAAAUUAAAUGAUAGUUUCAGGUUUGAAAGUGGAGAAAGCUUCACUGAGCUCUCAGUCAAGUUGGAUCAGGAGACUGGAGUGGGAAAGGGGGCCUUAGUCAGAUGUACAGUAUGGGGUGAGGGAAUUUAUAAGGAUGAAAACACAACAGGGAUUUAAGGAGUCAUACCCCACCCCCCUGCAGCCCCCUACAAAGGACUUUCUGGUGGCAGAUUAACCCAAGGGAGGGUGUCUUCUAAGAGUAGAGUCAGUCUGGAGGGACAAGGGGGAAUCUCUCAAUAUACAAAUCUUUCAGAUCCACCCCAACUUUCUUGGAACCGCUUCCACUUUUAUGAAGGACCUACUAUGUCCUGGGGACUCUUCCAAGCACUUUACACAGGUUAAUUCAUUUAAUCUUCACUGUGAGGUUGCCACUGUUUUUAUUCUAAAGGUCAAAUAGCUAAUAAGUGCUGGAGCUGGAAUUCGGACUGAAGAGAUUCAGUUUCAAGUCUAUGUCCUCAACCCCAUGCCACACUCACUCUGAAAUUUCCAGGCAUCAGCUGGAGUCAUGCUGGAGGCUCAGGCCACCCACAACCCUGCAGGGUGAUGCUCCUUAGUAGGAGAUGAGGCUGAAGGGCUGGACGGUGGGCAUUUCCUUUUCUUCUUUGACAUGGUUUUCCUUAAUCUUUGCUCUUGAGGCUUGACCUCAGUGUGUUUGGGAAGUGGGAAGACAAGGAGUAGUCACAGGGGCCGUCAGUAAGCCCGUUCUCCAGCAGAUCUCUCCAGACUCUUCCAUGUACUUUGCAGUUUGGGUUAGAGGGUCAGAAUGCCUGGUGCCUGAGUUCUUCUGUCCAUGAGCUUUGAGCCCUGUGGGUGAUGCUCUUCUCUGGGCUGAAUCUCAGUAGGGUGUUCUAAACACUGACUUCCUGAGUAAACUUGGUUAAACUUUCUAAACCAGAAACACGAUAACUUAAAAAUCCUCUAGUUUUAGUCUUCUAUAACCAUGUAUUCUAGGAAAUUUGGGAGCCAAUGUUUCAAGAAAGAUAGCUCAAAAGAGGAACAGAUGUGAGUAGAUGGAAGAUCAUGAUCAAAGAAGUGUGGAGUCAGAAGGGGAGAAAAGACAAUUAGGUAUUUCUCCCCAAAAGACUAUCCCUGUUAAAACUACAUAUUGAGUGACUUGAUGAACACGUGAUUUCAUGCAACUUUUUGGAAUCCAUCUAUUGCCUAAACCCAUGAAAAAAAGAGAAAAUGUGGGUGCAUAUUAUACUGUUAUGCCCCAGUGAAGCUCGGCUGGCUCUUUGGGACUCCUUAAGUAAGCUUGCUCUUCAUGCAUGGUUCUACCUGUGAUUGGGAGUCCCAGAGCAUUUUCCUCCCCAGGGAUUGCUCUUUAUCUCUCAGUCUUGCAGUGAUUGACUUGCAGGUAUAGAAAACAGAACCCACACUUUUGAGAUGGAGACUAAGCAUUCUACAGUAAGUUCUAGUCAUUAAAACUGCUUUAAAUACCCAGGAUUACUGCAAAAGGGUUAUAGAGAGAAAAGAAAAGAGUUCUGUUCUCUGUUGCUUUAUGGCCAAAUGGUUUCUCACUGUUGCCCAUAAAAUAAAACAAUUAUACAUACACA